UCGUCAGCUCGUGUCGUGAGAUGUUGGGUUAAGUCCCGCCACGAGCACAACCCUUGUAUAUAUAUAUAUACGCGAGAGCACUUUAUGUAGAAAAAACAGUGAUCUAUCUGAGGAAGGUGGGGAUGACGUCAAGUCCUCAUGGCCCUUAUGCGCUCGGCUUCACACGUCAUACAAUGGUCGGAACAGAGGGUCGCCAACCCGCGAGGGGGAGCCAAUCCCAGAAAACCGAUCGUAGUCCGGAUCGCACUCUGCAGCUCGAGUGCGUGAAGCUGGAAUCGCUAGUAAUCGCGGAUCAGCAUGCCGCGGUGAAUACGUUCCCGGGUCUUGUACACACCGCCCGUCACACCAUGGGAGUGGGUUUUACCAGAAGUGGCUAGUCCAACCGCAAGGAGGACGGUCACCACGGUAGGAAUCAUGACUGGGGUGAAGUCGUAACAAGGUAACCGUA
rnacentral:rRNA from 1 species